rnacentral:rRNA from 1 species
AUUGAACGCUGGCGGCAUGCUUUACACAUGCAAGUCGAACGGCAGCGCGGGCUUCGGCCUGGCGGCGAGUGGCGAACGGGUGAGUAAUGCAUCGGAACGUGCCCAGUAGUGGGGGAUAGCCCGGCGAAAGCCGGAUUAAUACCGCAUACGACCUGAGGGUGAAAGCGGGGGACCGAAAGGCCUCGCGCUAUUGGAGCGGCCGAUGUCGGAUUAGCUAGUUGGUGGGGUAAAGGCUUACCAAGGCGACGAUCCGUAGCUGGUCUGAGAGGACGACCAGCCACACUGGGACUGAGCCACGGCCCAGACUCCUACGAGAGGCAGCAGUGGGGAAUUUUGGACAAUGGGGGCAACCCUGAUCCAGCCAUGCCGCGUGCGGGAAGAAGGCCUUCGGGUUGUAAACCGCUUUUGUUCGGGAAGAAAUCCUCUGGGCUAAUACCCCGGGGGGAUGACGGUACCGGAAGAAUAAGCACCGGCUAACUACGUG